rnacentral:rRNA from 1 species
AUGCUAUUGGAUCUUAUAAAGAUUUUUGGACCUGUUAUUCAUUCAACAUUGUCAGCUAGCUCACCCAUUGGAGUAGAACUUCAAGCCGAACAGAGUGCCAUGUUGUGGAUAACAAGGAGAUUAUCAAGGUGGAGCAGCGGUGAGUAUGGAGCCCAUAAUCAUCAGUUCAUCACCAUGAAGCAGAAGAAAUGGUAUAGCUUUGCCAUGCUGGACUUUGGGAGCCGCUGCUCCUCGGCAACAGGAGGUACAGCCGCUGCCACCACUCCUUCACAGCGACGCAGGCCAGCGACGAGGAGGCUCGCAAUGGUGGGGGACCCAUAA